UACGGAGGGGCUAGCGUUGUUCGGAAUUACUGGGCGUAAAGCGCGCGUAGGCGGACCUGCAAGUCGGGGUGAAAGCCCGAGGCUCAACCUCGGAACUGCCUUCGAUACUGCGGGUCUCGAGUCCGGGAGAGGUGAGUGGAAUUCCUAGUGUAGAGGUGAAAUUCGUAGAUAUUAGGAAGAACACCAGUGGCGGAAAGGCGG
rnacentral:rRNA from 1 species